UACGAGUGCCUCGAGCGUUAUCCGGAAUUAUUGGGCGUAAAGAGCUCGUAGGCGGUCUGUCGCGUCUGCUGUGAAAACUCAGGGCUUAACCCUGGGCUUGCAGUGGGUACGGGCAGACUAGAGUGCGGUAGGGGAGACUGGAAUUCCUGGUGUAGCGGUGAAAUGCGCAGAUAUCAGGAGGAACACCGGUGGCGAAGGCGGGUCUCUGGGCCGAAAUUGACGCUGAGGAGCGAAAGCGUGGGGAGCAAACAGG
rnacentral:rRNA from 1 species